rnacentral:lncRNA from 1 species
ACUGGUAUGCCCAUUGUGGUGGCAUGACUGACACACGACUCAUCUCUCAGAGCACUUCUGAAUUCACAAGGAUCUUCUGAAAGUGGAGGUAAGAAGACUUUGCUAUUAAAAAGGCUUAUAAUUCAAAAGAUCUCCUGUUGUCCCAGGGACAUGAAUUCCUUGGGUAAGCAUCUAGGAUAUAUCUGCAAAAGACUUUGCAUGGGAAGACCUGAAGCUGGCGGAGCCUGAUUAUAAUGUCCAGCAAACCGAACAGUACUGCCUGCCCUAGGUGCAUCAGCUGAAUUCAUUUCCUGGCCUUCAGCGUUUAUAUAUAAAGAAUUUCUUUUUCUCCUAAGCCAACUAUGACUACAGCAACUGGUGAGCAGAAUUGAAACAUUUGUCUUUUUCUCCCUACACGAUCCCUCCAGAAUUCAGAAAUUUAGUUUUGUUUACUACCCGUAAACUGGACCGGAUCCUGAAUUCUUCUAGAUUCCUCCAAUACCUGGCUACAACCCUCCAAACUAACAUAUCCAAUUUUCCUCCACUUUUUGAUUUGGAAUCAUUGAGGACUAAAACUGCUCUUUUUCCUGAAGCCUUGCAAACUGAAGCUGAAAAACUUGAUAUAAAUUUCAGAGAAAUCACCACAACAACUUAAGCAUGGACAAUCUUUAUACUUGUAUGGGCCACUCAGAAAGAUCAUCAGAGACAUUCAAACUGCAAACUAGGAAAAUCUGUCAGAUUCCCACUGCUUGCCCUCGCUCCAUCUGAAAAUGCUUAAAGCUGAACAUCUAGAAAUCUCCUCCACUGACUGCUUUUAGAACGCAGAAACUGGAAUUAUACUCUGCUCCAAUCAUUAACCAUUGCUUUUCUUUUGUUUCCAUAGAAAUGCCUUUUAUUAAAUACCUGAUUGCUUGCACCAUAGGCCUAAUGUUGGAAGACUACCUAUAUCACUCCCUCCUGAAAUUGGGCACAACUGUUUAACUGGACUGAUCUGUUCUCUAAUCCAGGAGACUGGCUCAACAUAAUGGAGUGGUCUACCAACCCAGCUUCUGGAAUGUGAAACUUCUCAUGAAGUUUCAAUGGAAGGACCAAAAGGACUCAGAACAGGCCUCCCAAAUGUGUCCCUUUGGAAUGUGGAGUAUUUUCAGCUAAAGGCAACCAAGACCCUGUGGUCCUGAGAAACCUUUACUUCUCCCUUAAAGAAUUUAAAUUGAGGGCUUGCCCAGAAAAAAAUUUAUGACCUAUAGGUAUGGUGGGGCAAACGUCUAAUUAGUGAACAUCUCCUUUUCUUAUCGUCCCAUAAAUUACCUUCCUC